CAUCAGCAGAGUGUGCGAGCUGAUUCAAAGCGAAACAGAAACCCUUUAGCCUGAGCCUGGGGCUCCUGCCAAAACCCAGCCCUCAAGGGUGCCCUACAAAAGGCCGACUGUCGGAGUUGGACAACUUAGAAGCUCGUGCUUUCUUCCUAGCCCGCUGACUCUCAAUCAGCAAGCUUUGAGAGAAGAUGGAAGAGGCCAACCCUGUGUCAGAUUACUCAAAGGAAAAGACUCUGAGAAGAAACCAGCAUGAGAAUCACUGACAGUCUCCAUUAUGUUCCUAUCCCCAGCUUGCUAUACUAGAGACCUCGGGGAACUCACCCUUGGGUCCUAGUCACCAUGACCCAGUCUGCAAGGGGCAGUGGAUUUAGAUGACCUUGUUUCAAAUCCUGUGUCUGCUACCUACCACUUGUGUGAUAUCAGGCAAGUCACCUAACCUCUGUGGGACACACAUACACACCCAUCCCAUUUCCAUGAAGAUAAAACUUUUAUGUCACCUGCCAUGUUGCCAAGGUAUUGUUUCCAAGAUACCUGGGAGGUUUUUCUAGUUCAUCCAAGAGCAAGCCUUGAUGAAUUGGAGCAAGCCUUGAUGAAUUGGAGAAUACCAGACGGAAUGUAGAGAUGCCUCAAGAGAGCUCAUUGCUACUCAACUACAAAUGAAAAAUAAUUAUACUCAGUAUUAAUACAGUCAGUUAUUUAUGGGUCAACAAGUACAGCAUAGAUACUUAAUAUUUAAUAAGAAGUCUCUACUAAAAAAAGUUUUGCUGUUGCCUUUUGUUUCUCUGUAUCCUCCUCCAGUAAUUCCUUUCGUGUAACGAACCCAAAACACAACAAUUUAAACAGUGCCAGUGGACACAGUAUCCACACCUGGCAGUGUAUAUUGUGUUCUAGAUAGUCCCUACCUUUCCUUAUCAGUUUUCCAGAACAAAAUUGUUCACCAGAAUCAAUCAUAGUUGGACUGGGUUUGAGUGUUAGCAGUUACUUUAUUAUAUAGUCAUUGUGAAUCUUAUACUCUUGGAUCCAUCCACUUAAUUCUCACUGCCUCACUCGUUUCAUACAAGCUUGACUCUCUUUGUAACACUUGAUAUAAGUUUGAAAGCUGAUUUCCUUGCUGGUGCAUGCUUUCUAACUAAGGCCAGGGGUUGUGAUAUGUAUGUUCAUGAGAUUUUUAAAUCUAAUUUUGUACUUAUAUCUAAUCUGUCACACAAAUCUUGCCAAAGGGGAAGAGAUUGCAAAAAAUGAGGCUAGUGUCCAGUGCAAGAAAACCUGGGGGGAGAAGAAGCUUCAUAUUCCCCCCCUUGGCAACAUAAGUUGGGCAAUAAGUAAAACACAAAGACAGGCACACAGAUAUAAAUUUGAUUCACUGAAAUUGACAAAAGUGUCUAAUGUUCCUUUGCACAUAAAAUGCCAGUAAUUUAAUUAGAGUGAAUUACCUAUUUGUUGUUGUUCAGUCUUGUCCAACUCUUUGUGACUGCAUUUGGAGAUUUCUUG